UAAGCCAUGCAUGUCUCAGUACAAGCCAAAUUAAGGUGAAACCGCGAAAGGCUCAUUAAAUCAGUUAUGGUUCCUUAGAUCGUACCCACAAUUACUUGGAUAACUGUGGUAAUUCUAGAGCUAAUACAUGCAAACAGAGCUCCGACCGGAGACGGAAGGAGUGCUUUUAUUAGAUCAAAACCAAUCGGUGGCGGGUUCGCGCUCGUUAUCGUACAACUUGGUGACUCUGAAUAACUUUACGCUGAUCGCACGGUCAUCGCACCGGCGACGCAUCUUUCAAAUGUCUGCCUUAUCAACUGUCGAUGGUAGGUUCUGCGCCUACCAUGGUUGUAACGGGUAACGGGGAAUCAGGGUUCGAUUCCGGAGAGGGAGCCUGAGAAACGGCUACCACAUCCAAGGAAGGCAGCAGGCGCGCAAAUUACCCACUCCCGGCACGGGGAGGUAGUGACGAAAAAUAACGAUACGGGACUCAUCCGAGGCCCCGUAAUCGGAAUGAGUACACUCUAAACCCUUUAACGAGGAUCAAUUGGAGGGCAAGUCUGGUGCCAGCAGCCGCGG
rnacentral:rRNA from 2 species